rnacentral:rRNA from 1 species
AUGGAGAUGGACAGUGAGCCGUCGACGCCGAGCCAGUCCUCCUACUUCACCGGCUGCAUGGCCACCCCGGCGUGGCUGCCGGCCCUGCAGCGGAGCCCCGGGCGGUUCCACCUCCUGUCGCGCGACGGCGGGCGCGACGGCGGGCGGCGGGCGUGGAGGCGGCUGCUCAGGCGGCUGUUGAGGAAGAGCGCCUGCUGCCCCAGCCCCAGGGCGCCGCCCAUGAUCACCUUCCAGUACGACGCCGCCAGCUACGCCAAGAACUUCGACGAAGGCCGCCGGCCCUCCUCCGCCUCCGCCGCCGCCGACAAGCCGGCCGCCGGCCAGCUGAUCGACCCGGCCGAGAGCCUCAGAUGA